GCCGUGAAAUCCUCUGGCUUAACUGGGGGCGUGCGGUGGGUACGGGUUGACUUGAGUGCGGUAGGGGAGACUGGAAUUCCUGGUGUAGCGGUGGAAUGCGCAGAUAUCAGGAGGAACACCGGUGGCGAAGGCGGGUCUCUGGGCCGUUACUGACGCUGAGGAGCGAAAGCGUGGGGAGCGAACAGGAUUAGAUACCCUGGUAGUCCACGCUGUAAACGUUGGGCACUAGGUGUGGGGGCCACCCGUGGUUUCUGCGCCGUAGCUAACGCUUUAAGUGCCCCGCCUGGGGAGUACGGUCGCAAGGCUAAAACUCAAAGGAAUUGACGGGGGCCCGCACAAGCGGCGGAGCAUGCGGAUUAAUUCGAUGCAACGCGAAGAACCUUACCAAGGCUUGACAUGCACCCUGACACUGCAGAGAUGUGGUGGCAUUUGGUUGGGGGUGUGCAGGUGGUGCAUGGUUGUCGUCAGCUCGUGUCGUGAGAUGUUGGGUUAAGUCCCGCAACGAGCGCAACCCUUGCCCUAUGUUGCCAGCACGUUGUGGUGGGGACUCGUGGGGGACUGCCGGGGUUAACUCGGAGGAAGGUGGGGAUGACGUCAAAUCAUCAUGCCCCUUAUGUCUUGGGCUUCACGCAUGCUACAAUGGUUGGUACAGAGUGUUGCGAUAUCGUAAGGUGGAGCGAAUCACUUAAAGCCAGUCUCAGUUCGGAUUGGGGUCUGCAACUCGACCCCAUGAAGGUGGAGUCGCUAGUAAUCGCAGAUCAGCAACGCUGCGGUGAAUACGUUCUCGGGCCUUGUACACACCGCCCGUCACGUCACGAAAGUUGGUAACACCCGAAGCUCAUGGCCUAACCGUUUUGGGGGGAGUGGUCGAAGGUGGGAUUGGCGAUUGGGACGAAGUCGUAACAAGGUAGCCGUACCGGAAGGUGCGGCUGGAUCACCU
rnacentral:rRNA from 1 species